rnacentral:lncRNA from 1 species
UGGCAGAAAACAAGUGUGGGGGAAAGGUUUCAAUUUGGGUAUUUUGGGUGCCAUAGAACACGGCAAGAAAAGAAAAGAAAAAAAAAAUGAAAUUCGUGGAAAAAGAAAAAGAGUUGAAAAGAUGUGAAAAAAAAAAAGUUCUAGAGUAUUGUUUGUUGAAGAAAGGGUCCAAAACUUUGAAUUCGGCCCUAAGUAUUGCUUGAAUCUUCCCUUCGUGUUUAAAAGUUGAUUUCUACAAUCUAAGUGAAUUCUAAGUUUCAAUUUCAUUACUUUGCUUGCUAUUGCUUUAAGAACGUUUGUUAUCCCUAUCCUUCAUUUGUUAGCCAACACCCCAAGCCCCGUUACAACCUUUGACUUCAAUCUUGAGUGUUAUGUGUUUCAAUUUGUGGAGUUUGAAGUUGGUAUGAGCAUAUGGUGUCACUGGUUCUCGCGUCUAAGUAGUAGCAUUCCAUUCAUGAGAUCAUAUCUAAACAUGCUUAUUAACUCCAGAAAUUGCGUUCUUUGUUAUAUAUAUGUGAGUGUUUGUUUUCAUAUCUACAUCAAUCUUCUCACAUAUAACUAGUAUAGGGUGUGUAGUUAGAAAAUCUGAGUGAAAAUUGAGUGCAUAUCUUGUAAGGAAUUGAGGGAAUUCUCUAAGGCAUGUUACUACAUUCAAAACAUUGUUUUAAUUGCUUAAAUGUGAACUAGUAAGUAGUGACUAUGAUUAAGUAUGUGCUCAAGUGUAAAGAUGA